AGCAUACAGUUGUCUAUAUUUGUGUAGGAAAUAUAAGAUAUAAUCUACAUACCUUCACCAUUGUCUCAUGUAUUGCAGGCUUAUCAAGAUAUUCUCUAGCUUUGAGAGCUGCAUAAGGCUAAUGAUUAAAAAAAGAAAAAAUGGAGAUUCUAAAGAUCAUCAUCCAAAUGCACCAAAAUUUAGAGUAAGAUCGAACCACUAUUAAUGAAGGUAUUCUACUGGGCUAGGAUGCUUGUUGUUUGGAUAUGGAGCCAUGGAAGAACUUGGACCCUUCCGUGUUAACAGUGAUGGAAAAACACUCUACCCCAACCACUAUGCAUGGAACAAUGGUGCAUGCCUAACCCUAUAAAACCUUUGCUUUUGAGGUACUAACUGUUUU